UACGAAGGGGGCUAGCGUUGCUCGGAAUCACUGGGCGUAAAGCGCACGUAGGCGGAUUGUUAAGUCAGGGGUGAAAUCCUGGAGCUCAACUCCAGAACUGCCUUUGAUACUGGCGAUCUCGAGUCCGGGAGAGGUGAGUGGAACUGCGAGUGUAGAGGUGAAAUUCGUAGAUAUUAGGAAGAACACCAGUGGCGAAAGGCGGCUCACUGGCCCGGUACU
rnacentral:rRNA from 1 species